UAGCUAGUUGGUGAGGUAAAGGCUUACCAAGGCGACGAUCUGUAGCGGGUCUGAGAGGAUGAUCCGCCACACUGGAACUGAGACACGGUCCAGACUCCUACGGGAGGCAGCAGUGGGGAAUUUUGGACAAUGGGGGCAACCCUGAUCCAGCCAUGCCGCGUGAGUGAAGAAGGCCUUCGGGUUGUAAAGCUCUUUCGGCCGGGAAGAAAUCGCAUGGGCCAAUACCCUGUGUGGAUGACGGUACCGGAAUAAGAAGCACCGGCUAACUACGUGCCAGCAGCCGCGGUAAUACGUAGGGUGCGAGCGUUAAUCGGAAUUACUGGGCGUAAAGCGUGCGCAGGCGGUUUUGUAAGACAGGCGUGAAAUCCCCGGGCUUAACCUGGGAACUGCGUUUGUGACUGCAAGGCUAGAGUACGGCAGAGGGGGGUGGAAUUCCACGUGUAGCAGUGAAAUGCGUAGAGAUGUGGUGGAACACCAAUGGCGAAGGCAGCCCCCUGGGUCGAUACUGACGCUCAUGCACGAAAGCGUGGGUAGCAAACAGGAUUAGAUACCCUGGUAGUCCACGCCCUAAACUAUGUCAACUAGGUGUUGGGUGGGUAAAACCAUUUAGUACCGUAGCUAACGCGUGAAGUUGACCGCCUGGGGAGUACGGCCGCAAGGUUAAAACUCAAAGGAAUUGACGGGGACCCGCACAAGCGGUGGAUGAUGUGGAUUAAUUCGAUGCAACGCGAAAAACCUUACCUACCCUUGACAUGCCAGGAACUUGCCAGAGAUGGCUUGGUGCCCGAAAGGGAGCCUGGACACAGGUGCUGCAUGGCUGUCGUCAGCUCGUGUCGUGAGAUGUUGGGUUAAGUCCCGCAACGAGCGCAACCCUUGUCGUUAAUUGCCAUCAUUUAGUUGGGCACUUUAACGAGACUGCCGGUGACAAACCGGAGGAAGGUGGGGAUGACGUCAAGUCCUCAUGGCCCUUAUGGGUAGGGCUUCACACGUCAUACAAUGGUCGGUACAAAGGGUUGCCAAGCCGCGAGGCGGAGCCAAUCCCAGAAAGCCGAUCGUAGUCCGGAUUGCAGGCUGCAACUCGCCUGCAUGAAGUCGGAAUCGCUAGUAAUCGUGGAUCAGCAUGUCACGGUGAAUACGUUCCCGGGUCUUGUACACACCGCCCGUCACACCAUGGGAGCGGGUUCCGCCAGAAGUAGGUAGCCUAACCGCAAGGGGGGCGCUUACCACGGCGGGGUUCGUGACUGGGGUGAAGUCGUAACAAGGUAGCCGUAGGGGAACCUGCGGCUG
rnacentral:rRNA from 1 species